GACGAACGCUGGCGGCGUGCUUAACACAUGCAAGUCGAACGGAAAGGCCCUGCUUUUGUGGUGUGCUCGCGUGGCGAACGGGUGAGUAACACGUGAGUAACCUGCCCUUGACUUUGGGAUAACUUCAGGGAACUGGGGCUAAUACCGGAUAGGAGCUCCUGCUGCAUGGUGGGGGUUGGAAAGUUUCGGCGGAUGGGGCUGGACUCGCGGCUUAUCAGCUUGUUGGUGGGGUAGUGGCUUACCAAGGCUUUGACGGGUAGCCGGCCUGAGAGGGUGACCGGCCACAAUGCGACUGAGAUACGGCGCAGACUCCUAUGGGAGGCAGCAGUGGGGAAUAUUGCACAAUGGCGGGAAGCCUGAUGAAGCAACGCCGCGUGCGGGAUGACGGCCUUCGGGUGGAAAACCGCUUUCGCCUGUAACGAAGAGUGAGUGACGGUAAUGGGUAAAGAAGCACCGGCUAACUACGUG
rnacentral:rRNA from 1 species